CUAUCCCUGCACAAGGCUAAGAACUUCUGUUUUUUCCCAUGAAAAGAAGGCUGACUUCAGCCCCUCCACCAGACUAGCCUCGAGGUUGAGAGAAUUCCAGGAGGCACGCAGAUGACAUCGUGUCUUACAACCGAGAAAUCCCAACGAUGCUGUGAAAUGGAGUUGCUGCCUGCCCCAUGUUUCCAAUGGAAGCUGCUUUAUGUUUAUGUGUUUAAAGCUGUUUUAUGUUACAUUU